rnacentral:rRNA from 1 species
CCCCNUCUGAACAUCCGUGGUCUCGCCUCCUUGCGGUAGGCUAACGGCUUCUGGAGCAACUCACUCCCAUGGUGUGACGGGCGGUGUGUACAAGGCCCGGGAACGUAUUCACCGCAGCAUAGCUGAUCUGCGAUUACUAGCGAUUCCGACUUCACGAAGUCNAGUUGCAGACUUCGAUCCGGACUGGGAUCGGCUUUCUGGGAUUGGCUCCACCUCGCGGUAUUGCAACCCUCUGUACCGACCAUUGUAGUACGUGUGUAGCCCUGGCCGUAAGGGCCAUGAUNACUUGACGUCAUCCCCACCUUCCUCCGGUUUGUCACCGGCAGUCUCCUUAGAGUUCCCACCAUUACGUGCUGGCAACUAANGACAAGGGUUGCGCUCGUUGCGGGACUUAACCCAACAUCUCACGACACGAAGCUGACNACAGCCAUGCAGCACCUGUGUUCUGAUUCCCGAAGGCACUCCCGCAUCUCUNCAGGAUCCAAACUUUUCAAGGCCNGGUUAGGUUCUCCCCUUUCCUCCAAAUAAACCNCCUNCUCCCCCCCCUGGUGCNGGCCCCCNUCCAAUUCCCUUUGAAUUUUCAAUCUUGCGAACCGUACUCCCCCAGGC